rnacentral:rRNA from 1 species
AACGUAGGUGGCGAGCGUUAUCCGGAUUUACUGGGCGUAAAGCGUGUGCAGGCGGCCUCACAAGUGGUGUAUGAAAUAUCCAGGCUCAACCUGGAGGGGUUAUGCCAGACUGUGAGGCUAGAGUGCGAGAGAGGGGCGUGGAAUUCCGGGUGUAGUGGUGAAAUUCGUAGAUAUUCGGAAGAACACCAGUGGCGAAGGCGGCUCACUGGCCCGGUACUGACGCUGAGGUGCGAAAGCGUGGGGAGCAAACAGG